ensembl:lincRNA
AUGGAUCCAGGGGGUCCUGGGGGCCCAGGUGGGCCUGGCGGGCCAGGAACACUGAUGGCUACAAGAGAGGAGCCAGAGGUAGGAACACUGGCCCUGCCUGGAGGGGGCUGGAGCCCAGGGCCACUCCUCACCCUACUUACUCUGCCUGUAGGGGCCAGGAAAGGAAGGGGGUCCCGGGGGGCCUGGAACCCCAGGCAGCCCAUCCCUCCCAGGCACUCCGGGCAGGCCUGCGGGGCCAGGGACGUCCGAGCUGUUCAUCCCGAAGCGGCCUGGCUCCCCUGGCAAGCCUGGGACACCAGGGGGCCCGGGGGGGCCGGGGAAGCCGCGAGGGCCCUGGACAUGGAAAAACACAGCAUGGUCACUGCGCACAGCACCGGCUGCAGGGCGCCCCGCCAGGCCUCACACCGCACCACAGGUUCCACUGGCACUUGGGGACCGCAGAGUCGUGGCCACCACAGCCAAGGGACACUCACACGGAGGCUCUCCAGGUCGCCGCCAAAACCGGACCCCUCCAUGUCGAUGAAGGUCUGAGGAGAGAGAUGAGUCUGCAGGGGCCCAGGCCGUCCACCUCCAGCCACUGGUGAGGCAGCAGCCUGGCCAGCGCUGGGCUUCCCUGAGCAUGGCCCCUCACUGACAGCCAUGCAGGACUUUCCUGCUGACCCCCAGCCCCACUACAUAACAACCCCCAUGGGGGCAGGAACUGAGUCUCUGGGCCUGGACGCCCCGGGGAGGCCGGGUCUGGACUGAGCAGCACAGCCUUGGGAAGCUGAGGCCUGCAGGUGGGCGGGAGGCCCCUCUGCUGGGACAGGGCCAACCCCGAGGUAGAAGAAGCAGGACUCACCAGCCUGUCGGGUUUGAAGGAGGGCCCUGGGGGCCCCGGAGGCCCCCGGGGGGCCGGAGGGGCCCCCUCGGUCCGACUCCAGGAUCCCCCUGUGAACAGAAGACCCAGUUAUGCCAGGGUCAGGGUGGAGAACAGCACACGCACCCCCACACCCAUCCUGGUUACCACUCACCUUCUCGCCCUUGGGGCCCACGUCUCCUGGGGUUCCUGGGAAGCCCUGUGGCCCAGUGUCCCCCUGGAAGACAGAGGCCAGGCAGCUCGGUCAGGAGAAGGCCCUGUGCCUUGUCCCCGGCUGAGCCACCACCAAUACAUGCCUUUGUGCCCAUAAAGCAGUGCAGAGCAGACGGGGUUGGGUCCCCAGGGGCGGUGGGGAUGUCAUGGGGGCUGCAGGUGGGCACCACCGACCUCAGAGAUGUGAGCCCCUCCAGGGAGGGCGCCCCACAGAGGUGACCACAGCGUUCUGUGCACACCAGGCUGGAGGGCAGCACCCUGCCUGUCACACGCGAGCUGUGGGGGCACUGAGGACAGGAGAGCCGCGUGUGCACUGCCCAGGUGAGUGGGCUGAGUCGAGCGGCCUAAAUUGCCCCUCAGUGUGACUAAGUGUCCAUGCCCAGGGCUCUUGUGAUUUGAGGCCCAAUGCACCCUGAUCCGGGAGCUAGCUAAUCCAGUCAUUGGACCCUGGAUUCCACACACACACACGCAUCCCGCUCUGCCGAGGCCCCCCAGUACGACUGAGCCGAGCUCCGGUCUCAGGUGCGAAGAGACUCCUGCAGGACGUCCCCCUGCCCCGUCCUUCCUGAGUCUCUCUCGAGACCGAGUCUCCCUUAAUCCCAUGAGCCUCCCAGGCCUCCUCAUCACCAUUCGCUGGUCUGUUGUUUCCUAAAUCUUUAUCUGAGCCUUCAUGAGUCAUUUUACUCUACUUCUUGGAAAUCGCAUUUGAUCAUUUUUAAAAUCCAAACAAACUCUGACCCGUGGGCAGGCUGGCGAGCCCGCCAUCCCUGCUGCGAGCGUGCCUCGUCUUCUCCAUGUGCCGUCCCCCCACCCACACCCAGGCUGCUCCUCUGUCGUCUGUGAUUUCCUCUAGAAUCUGAAGCUUUACCUUUCAUUUCUUUCCUUUCUUUGUUCCUAGUAGUCUACACAUCUCAAUACACCUGCUUAAAUGUAUGUUUUUCUAUCAACAGUUAAACUUACAUUUUGUUAACAAAAGGUAAGUUUCAUUUUCAAAAUAUUUGGAAACCUCUCUAGUAGGUUGAGUUCAAAAAAUCCCAGGGGUGGGGAAGUGGAGAGCCAAAGGCCUCCGGCAAGCAUUGCAGAUAACACAGGUUCUGAAGGAAAAGGCAACUUACGGGCUUCCCGUCUUCACCAGGAUCACCCUGGAAGGCAGGAGAGAACCAUUAGUGGCAGAAAAUUAUAGCCCUGACCCUACCCUGAGCUGAACACGCAAAUGGACUCCAGCCCCCCAACCACCCCCCAGAGUGCUGACUCCCAUGGGGCUGGGAAUUUUCCAUCUGUCCAGGGCACUGCGUCCAUGCCCCCUGGCCCCACCUCCCGCUCUACCCAGGGAAGGAGGCUGCAGUCUGGGCCCAGGACCCAGCACCACCCCCCGCCCCCGACCUGCCCAAGCCCCACCCCCAGGUAGACAAAGGGGAGAUGGUACUCACAGGCUCACCAUCCCUUCCAGGGCUGCCUCCUUCCCCGGGGGUCCC